UUACUACUCCCUCCGAUCCAUAUUAAUUGUCAAAAUAUUACAUGUAUCUAGAUACUUUUUAGGCAUAGAUACAUCCAUAUUUGGGCAGAUUUGAGACAAUUAAUAUGGAUGAGAGGGAGUACUUU
rfam:Brachypodium distachyon strain Bd21 chromosome 1, whole genome shotgun sequence.